CUCAGCCCCAUUCUGUGCUGCAGUUGAGGAGCCCUGUCUGUUCCAUUGUCCUCCAGAGAGAGAGAGAAUCAUCACCUCAAGCUGCAAGCUAGUGCUCACCCCAACAGAAACACAGGCUUUAUUUAUAGUAAGGAGCACAUUGUAAUCUUGGGCGCAGGUCUGCAAGCCUCUAACUGUUUAACGUUGCCUGUUGUGGGUGUGUUCGAGUGUGGAGGCCCCUUAGGCCCGUAUGGUUUCCUGUGGCGCAGAGAGAGCAGGAAACCGCCAGAUUGCCUCCCCCACGGCGGGCCCUUUUCGAAAGGCCGGACGUCAAGCGAGCGGGCCCCCGCUCGUCAAAAAUAUGAAUCGCGCCCACGCGGCCCGGCCUAAAAUGGGCGCCUGCCGCCCCAGUAUCGUGCGCACUUUGCCACUUCCCAUCUCAGUCAGUGCUACGCCUCGGGCGGGAGGGGCAAUGGAACAAGUGACAUAGGAAGUAAAUUACACACAAACAAGAAGUGAACUCCAGGAGCGAGUUUCUCUUUCCAUAUUUUAACACGUGUGGUGUAGAUGGAGCGGAAGGAUUAGAUAGAUUUCCUGUGUUAUCUCGAUUAGAACUGGCACAUGCAAUCUAGUUGUUACUGAAGUAUUACAUUCUGUCCUUAGUUUCUGUUAUCGCGUAGGAAUUUAUAAAGCGAGAAAUUAUCAAUGCAAACCUAAUAAUGAGUAAUUACAAGGACCAUUAACUGUGAUGCAGUGGAAACUAGGGUUGCCAAAUGUGAUUAAGCGUAAUCCGGUACGUUUCAUCGCUUACCCUCACCAGUCCCUGUGGCACACUGAUUCCUACAGCAACUGGAAAGCAAUAAGACCCCAUACGUGGAUGAGAAUCGACUGUAAAUCAACCACAACGCCACCGUUCUCCACCCACCCCGGACAACACACACCAUCACUUCUCAUUUUCGGAAAUUUUAUGUCUGGUAAAGAAUGCGUUCAAAGAAAAUGACAGAAAUAAACUUUAUUUUCAAUAUCACAAUGAUUACUCGCCACAAUUGUAUCCCGGAAAUUGAUCUUCAAUUCCUAAGAGACUCCAGUCACAUUCUGGUAGGGAUCAUUGACGUGUAUUAACGAGUUGAUAUGAUUUGGAGAUGCCGGAGUUGGACUGGCGUGGACAAGGUGGCUGCUUGGCAUUGGCUGGCAAACAGAUAACCAAUUCUGAUAUCAGGAUGCCAUCAACUAAGAUUGAGCCUCCUUUAUUUGGCGUCCAAUUCUCCUGAGAAACCUGACCACAACAAUUGUCAACGUGGUUUCCUGAUGAAAGCAGUUUGCCACUUGCUUCUCUAGACCUUCUGACACAACAAUGUCCCUACAUGUGCCAUGGACAUCAUUCUCUUCCACCCUUCCUUCAUAUUUGCUAAUCCCAAUUCUCCAGCAAUGCAUCUAUAGCCAGAAGGAAACAAAAUACAAAGAUUACAGCCUGG